rfam:Takifugu rubripes genomic scaffold, scaffold_2691
GCCUGGCUAGCUCAGUCGGUAGAGCAUGAGACUUUUAAUCUCAGGGUCAUGGGUUCAAGUCCCAUGUUGGGCG